rnacentral:rRNA from 1 species
GAUGAACGCUGGCGGCGUGCCUAAUACAUGCAAGUCGAGCGAACGGACGAGAAGCUUGCUUCUCUGAUGUUAGCGGUGGACGGGUGAGUAACACGUGGAUAACCUACCUAUAAGACUGGGAUAACUUCGGGAAACCGUAGCUAAUACCGGAUAAUAUUUUGGACCGCAUGGUUCAAAAGUGAAAGACGGUCUUGCUGUCACUUAUAGAUGGAUCCGCGCUGCAUUAGCUAGUUGGUAAGGUAACGGCUUACCAAGGCAACGAUGCAUAGCCGACCUGAGAGGGUGAUCGGCCACACUGGAACUGAGACACGGUCCAGACUCCUACGGGAGGCAGCAGUAGGGAAUCUUCCGCAAUGGGCGAAAGCCUGACGGAGCAACGCCGCGUGAGUGAUGAAGGUCUUCGGAUCGUAAAACUCUGUUAUUAGGGAAGAACAUAUGUGUAAGUAACUGUGCACAUCUUGACGGUACCUAAUCAGAAAGCCACGGCUAACUACGUG